rnacentral:rRNA from 1 species
AAGACCUUGCGCUUUUGGAGCGGCCGAUGCCUGAUUAGCUUGUUGGURAGGUAAAAGCUUACCAAGGCUUCGAUCAGUAGCUGGUCUGAGAGGACGACCAGCCACACUGGGACUGAGACACGGCCCAGACUCCUACGGGAGGCAGCAGUGGGGAAUUUUGGACAAUGGGGGCAACCCUGAUCCAGCCAUGCCGCGUGAGUGAAGAAGGCCUUCGGGUUGUAAAGCUCUUUCAGCCGGAACGAAACGGUUACGGAUAACACCCGUGACUACUGACGGUACCGGAAGAAGAAGCACCGGCUAACUACGUGCCAGCAGCCGCGGUAAUACGUAGGGUGCGAGCGUUAAUCGGAAUUACUGGGCGUAAAGCGUGCGCAGGUGGUUUUGUAAGUCAGAUGUGAAAUCCCCGGGCUCAACCUGGGAACU